GCUGGGCGUGGUAGUGCUCACCUGUAAUCCCAGCAACUCAGGAGGCUGAGGCAGGAGAUUUGAGAUUUCAAGACCAGCCUCAG
rnacentral:sRNA from 1 species